rnacentral:rRNA from 1 species
GUGGGGAAUCUUAGACAAUGGGGGCAACCCUGAUCUAGCCAUGCCGCGUGAGUGAUGAAGGCCUUAGGGUUGUAAAGCUCUUUCGCCGGGGAAGAUAAUGACGGUACCCGGUAAAGAAGUCCCGGCUAACUCCGUGCCAGCAGCCGCGGUAAUACGGAGGGGACUAGCGUUGUUCGGAAUUACUGGGCGUAAAGCGCACGUAGGCGGACCAGAAAGUUGGGGGUGAAAUCCCGGGGCUCAACCUCGGAACUGCCCUCAAAACUAUUGGUCUGGAGUUCGAGAGAGGUGAGUGGAAUUCCGAGUGUAGAGGUGAAAUUCGUAGAUAUUCGGAGGAACACCAGUGGCGAAGGCGGCUCACUGGCUCGAUACUGACGCUGAGGUGCGAAAGCGUGGGGAGCAAACAGGAUUAGAUACCCUAGUAGUCC